rnacentral:lncRNA from 1 species
AUCCUGUUGAUCUGUGACCUUACCCCCAACCCUGUGCUCUCUGAAACAUGUGCUGUGUCCACUCAGGGUUGAAUGGAUUAAGGGUGGUGCAAGAUGUGCUUUGUUAAACAGAUGCUUGAAGGCAGCAUGCUCCUUAAGAGUCAUCGCCACUCCCUAAUCUCAAGUACCCAGGGACACAAACACUUCGGAAGGCCGCAGGGUCCUCUGCCUAGGAAAACCAGAGACCUUUGUUCACUUGUUUAUCUGCUGACCUUCCCUCCACUAUUGUCCUAUGACCCUGCCAAAUCCCCCUCUGCGAGAAACACCCAAGAAUGAUCAAUUAAAAAAAAAAAACAAAAAAAAAAACAAGCCAAGGCAGGGGCCCACAGCUCUCUGUGACCCACCUGGGCAGACCUGGCCCGUGAUAGAAGGAGAGGGUGAUGGUAUGAGACUCAAACCCCUGGGCUUGGGCACUACGUAUCCUUGGACAAGUCACACACCUCUAUGAAUUCCCUUUGCUCAAGCAUAUGAUGCAGUUGCUUAAUUAAACUCUUGUGAGGACCAAGAGAGGGAAUGGCUGUGAAAAUGCUUUGAAAAUAUAAAACCAGGCCAGUCAAUAUGGCUCACGCCUGUAAUCCCAGCAGUUUGGGAGGCUGAGGCGGGAGGAUCGCCUGAGGUCAGGAGUUCAAGACCGGCCUGGCCAACAUGGCGAAACCCCAUCGAUCCUAAAAAUACAAAAACUUAGCUGGACAUGGUGGCGUGGGCCUGUAAUCCCACCUACCCAGGAGGCUGAGGCAGGAGAAUCGCUGGAACCCGGGAGGCAGAGGCUGUAGUGAGCCGAGAUUGUGCCACUGCACUCCAGCCUGAGUGACAGAGCAAGACUCCAUCUCAAAAAAAAAAAAAAAGAAAAGAAAAUAUAAAAGCAAGACAAAGGCAAUAGGGAAUCAUGGUCAUGUUGUUCAGCAGCCAUCAGGGAACUGAAGCUCAGUUUCUGGACACUUGGUUUGGUAUUUAAGGCCUUGUCACCUGGGAAGAGGUGGAAAGGGGUGCAUUUUCCCUGUGGCCUACUAGUUCCUUGAGAAUAAAGCCCUUCUCUACUCCAUGUGUUGGCACAAAUACUCUUGAUGACAUAAGGAAAUUCUUGAAAAACUCACAUUACCUGAAAAUGCACAUGUCAAAGCACUGUCCUCACAAGAAGCGAUGGUAAAGGACUUCAUUGUCCAUCCAUGGAGCAAACAGCCCUGAACUACCAACACCCAGCCUCACAGAGCCCCUGUGGCUGGUGCCUGCCCCUCAGCCUGCCCAGGGAAGAGUUAUGGUGGGGGAUGUGAAGUUCUGGGGUGGUGUCUCUUCAGAAAGACGGUUUGCAAAACCCUUCCUGCCACUAUUCCAAGCCCUGUGCCCUUCAGCUCCAGAAAGAACCUUUUUACAGCUUCUUGGUGCCAGCAUGUUCUGACAAACGCCAUUUCUAGAAUAAUUUCCUAACAGGUUCCAAGAUCAAAUCACACAUGGGUAAUGCAGCAAAAUUUCCAGGGCAUAGGAACAGAGAGAUCAGGGAG